rnacentral:rRNA from 1 species
GGGUUGUGAGGUUAAGCGACUAAGCGUACACGGUGGAUGCCCUGGCAGUCAGAGGCGAUGAAGGACGUGCUAAUCUGCGAUAAGCGUCGGUAAGGUGAUAUGAACCGUUAUAACCGGCGAUUUCCGAAUGGGGAAACCCAGUGUGUUUCGACACACUAUCAUUAACUGAAUCCAUAGGUUAAUGAGGCGAACCGGGGGAACUGAAACAUCUAAGUACCCCGAGGAAAAGAAAUCAACCGAGAUUCCCCCAGUAGCGGCGAGCGAACGGGGAGCAGCCCAGAGCCUGAAUCAGUGUGUGUGUUAGUGGAAGCGUCUGGAAAGGCGCGCGAUACAGGGUGACAGCCCCGUACACAAAAAUGCACAUAUUGUGAGCUCGAUGAGUAGGGCGGGACACGUGGUAUCCUGUCUGAAUAUGGGGGGACCAUCCUCCAAGGCUAAAUACUCCUGACUGACCGAUAGUGAACCAGUACCGUGAGGGAAAGGCGAAAAGAACCCCGGCGAGGGGAGUGAAAAAGAACCUGAAACCGUGUACGUACAAGCAGUGGGAGCACGCUUAGGCGUGUGACUGCGUACCUUUUGUAUAAUGGGUCAGCGACUUAUAUUCUGUAGCAAGGUUAACCGAAUAGGGGAGCCGAAGGGAAACCGAGUCUUAACUGGGCGUUAAGUUGCAGGGUAUAGACCCGAAACCCGGUGAUCUAGCCAUGGGCAGGUUGAAGGUUGGGUAACACUAACUGGAGGACCGAACCGACUAAUGUUGAAAAAUUAGCGGAUGACUUGUGGCUGGGGGUGAAAGGCCAAUCAAACCGGGAGAUAGCUGGUUCUCCCCGAAAGCUAUUUAGGUAGCGCCUCGUGAAUUCAUCUCCGGGGGUAGAGCACUGUUUCGGCAAGGGGGUCAUCCCGACUUACCAACCCGAUGCAAACUGCGAAUACCGGAGAAUGUUAUCACGGGAGACACACGGCGGGUGCUAACGUCCGUCGUGAAGAGGGAAACAACCCAGACCGCCAGCUAAGGUCCCAAAGUCAUGGUUAAGUGGGAAACGAUGUGGGAAGGCCCAGACAGCCAGGAUGUUGGCUUAGAAGCAGCCAUCAUUUAAAGAAAGCGUAAUAGCUCACUGGUCGAGUCGGCCUGCGCGGAAGAUGUAACGGGGCUAAACCAUGCACCGAAGCUGCGGCAGCGACGCUUAUGCGUUGUUGGGUAGGGGAGCGUUCUGUAAGCCUGCGAAGGUGUGCUGUGAGGCAUGCUGGAGGUAUCAGAAGUGCGAAUGCUGACAUAAGUAACGAUAAAGCGGGUGAAAAGCCCGCUCGCCGGAAGACCAAGGGUUCCUGUCCAACGUUAAUCGGGGCAGGGUGAGUCGACCCCUAAGGCGAGGCCGAAAGGCGUAGUCGAUGGGAAACAGGUUAAUAUUCCUGUACUUGGUGUUACUGCGAAGGGGGGACGGAGAAGGCUAUGUUGGCCGGGCGACGGUUGUCCCGGUUUAAGCGUGUAGGCUGGUUUUCCAGGCAAAUCCGGAAAAUCAAGGCUGAGGCGUGAUGACGAGGCACUACGGUGCUGAAGCAACAAAUGCCCUGCUUCCAGGAAAAGCCUCUAAGCAUCAGGUAACAUCAAAUCGUACCCCAAACCGACACAGGUGGUCAGGUAGAGAAUACCAAGGCGCUUGAGAGAACUCGGGUGAAGGAACUAGGCAAAAUGGUGCCGUAACUUCGGGAGAAGGCACGCUGAUAUGUAGGUGAGGUCCCUCGCGGAUGGAGCUGAAAUCAGUCGAAGAUACCAGCUGGCUGCAACUGUUUAUUAAAAACACAGCACUGUGCAAACACGAAAGUGGACGUAUACGGUGUGACGCCUGCCCGGUGCCGGAAGGUUAAUUGAUGGGGUUAGCCGCAAGGCGAAGCUCUUGAUCGAAGCCCCGGUAAACGGCGGCCGUAACUAUAACGGUCCUAAGGUAGCGAAAUUCCUUGUCGGGUAAGUUCCGACCUGCACGAAUGGCGUAAUGAUGGCCAGGCUGUCUCCACCCGAGACUCAGUGAAAUUGAACUCGCUGUGAAGAUGCAGUGUACCCGCGGCAAGACGGAAAGACCCCGUGAACCUUUACUAUAGCUUGACACUGAACAUUGAGCCUUGAUGUGUAGGAUAGGUGGGAGGCUUAGAAGUGUGGACGCCAGUCUGCAUGGAGCCGACCUUGAAAUACCACCCUUUAAUGUUUGAUGUUCUAACGUUGACCCGUAAUCCGGGUUGCGGACAGUGUCUGGUGGGUAGUUUGACUGGGGCGGUCUCCUCCUAAAGAGUAACGGAGGAGCACGAAGGUUGGCUAAUCCUGGUCGGACAUCAGGAGGUUAGUGCAAUGGCAUAAGCCAGCUUGACUGCGAGCGUGACGGCGCGAGCAGGUGCGAAAGCAGGUCAUAGUGAUCCGGUGGUUCUGAAUGGAAGGGCCAUCGCUCAACGGAUAAAAGGUACUCCGGGGAUAACAGGCUGAUACCGCCCAAGAGUUCAUAUCGACGGCGGUGUUUGGCACCUCGAUGUCGGCUCAUCACAUCCUGGGGCUGAAGUAGGUCCCAAGGGUAUGGCUGUUCGCCAUUUAAAGUGGUACGCGAGCUGGGUUUAGAACGUCGUGAGACAGUUCGGUCCCUAUCUGCCGUGGGCGCUGGAGAACUGAGGGGGGCUGCUCCUAGUACGAGAGGACCGGAGUGGACGCAUCACUGGUGUUCGGGUUGUCAUGCCAAUGGCACUGCCCGGUAGCUAAAUGCGGAAGAGAUAAGUGCUGAAAGCAUCUAAGCACGAAACUUGCCCCGAGAUGAGUUCUCCCUGAC